UUGAACGCUGGCGGAAUGCUUUACACAUGCAAGUCGAGCGGCAGCGCGGGGGCAACCCUGGCGGCGAGCGGCGGACGGGUGAGUAAUACAUCGGAACGUACCCAGUUGUGGGGGAUAGCCCGGCGAAAGCCGGAUUAAUACCGCAUACGCCCUGAGGGGGAAAGCAGGGGAUCUUCGGACCUUGUGCGAAUGGAGCGGCCGAUGUCAGAUUAGCUAGUUGGUGGGGUAAAGGCCCACCAAGGCGACGAUCUGUAGCGGGUCUGAGAGGAUGAUCCGCCACACUGGGACUGAGACACGGCCCAGACUCCUACGGGAGGCAGCAGUGGGGAAUUUUGGACAAUGGGCGCAAGCCUGAUCCAGCCAUGCCGCGUGCGGGACGAAGGCCUUCGGGUUGUAAACCGCUUUCAGCCGGAAAGAAAUCGUCAAGGCUAAUAUCCUUGAUGGAUGACGGUACCGGAAGAAGAAGCACCGGCUAACUACGU
rnacentral:rRNA from 1 species